UUAUUUAUUUUUAUUUUAUAUAUGUAUAAUGUCCCCCUUUGUAUUUCUUAUUAUUUAAAAAAAAUAUUAAAAAUAAUUUUAAAAGGACGCAGCUGUGCGUUUGAGAAACGACCGGAAACGACUUAUAUGUCGCGAGGCCAUCACGUGACCACAAUAUUUACCAGAAGACCGUUAUUUGCUCGAGUACCCUCAACUUUUUUGUCGCAAAUAACAUUAUUAAUAACCUGUAAAUAAUAAAUUUUGUACACAUUACGUUCCUCUUCACUUUGUAAUAGUAUGUUUUUUGGUUUAAUAGUCGGCUUUAAGUUAGUUUUCCUGUCAGUUUGAUCGUCAAAAUCUUGAAAGUUAUCUGCAGCCACACAUCCACUGUAUACCAAGUUAUGAUGAACAAUUAUGAAAAUGCAAAAGGAUUGAUAGAUCAGUAAACAAGCAACAAAAAGAUGGGUGCUCAUGGUGGCCUCCAAAUAAAUACAUGGACAGGCUGCUAAAGAGGGUCAGGAUGAUGGAGAUGCAAGAGCCAAAGACAGCACAGACCAAACACCAGGCCAGAAUUCUGCAUGAGUCAGCUGUAAAAAAAAAAAAAAGAAUGAAACAGUACCUGCAUUUAAGUUUCCAGCCUUUUUCACAAAGUUGCCGACAACUGGAAGAAUGUCCCAAAUUGCUGCAAAAAUAAAUUCAAUUGAGUAAUUUUCACUCUAGAGACCCUUGGGUGACCACCAAGGACGAAUGCAAACUCCAGUGAGUGUCUCUAAGGUAGAUCCUAAUGCAGAUGGAUGGAAUGUUGAUCCGCCUAACAUGCAAGCUACAGAGGGCAUCCUUUAUUCAGUCCCUAAUGCAGAUGGUUGGAGUGUUGAUCUACCUAACAUGAGGGGUAAAAGAGUGUUUGUUAGCAUAAUGAGAAAGAAAACAGAAACACAUUAUUAGUGGCAUUUAAAAACAUAACACUUGUUUAUACUACAUUUUAUGUUCAAUCCAUAGAGCACUCGUUUUGAGUCCUGAGACCCUGGGGUGACCACCGUGAACAAAUACAGAAGCACUCAAUUUGAGUCCUGAGACCCUGGGGUGACCACCGUGAACAAAUACAGACUGCAAUAGCAGUCUUGACGGUACUAGGAUGAAUGCAAAUAAAGACUAACCACCUGACAUCAGCUGUCCAGUCUCUUGUGGGAAGCAGGUGCUUGUUACCCCAAAUACGGAUGAAGAGUGACGAAGAGGAUGAUGACUUU